UGGGAUUAGAUACCCCACUAUGCUCAGCCGUAAACUUUAAAUUACACCAAANAUCGCCGGGGAACUACGAGCAAAGCUUAAAACCCAAAGGACUUGACGGUACCCCACAUCCACCUAGAGGAGCCUGUCCUAUAAUCGAUACCCCCCGCUUAACCUCACCACUUUUAGCCAAAUCAGCCUGUAUACCUCCGUCGUCAGCUUACCACGUGAGCGCAACUCAGUGAGCCCAAUGCCCACACGCCAAUACGUCAGGUCAAGGUGCAGCAAAUGAAGUGGAAAGAGAUGGGCUACACUCUCUAACAUAGAAAACACAGAAGACUACCUAUGAAACCUAGUCUAAAGGCGGAUUUAGAAGUAAAAAGAAAGCACGAGCGUUCUUUUUAACACGGCACCGGGGUGUGUACACACCGCCCC
rnacentral:rRNA from 1 species